rnacentral:rRNA from 1 species
AACUUGCGGAAGGAUCAUUACCGAGCUUGGGGUCGCCCUGUGGCGGCCCACCCUCCCACCCCGUGUGUACGAGACCUUUUGUUGCCUAGGCGAGCCGGGAGCGCAGCUCUCGCCGGUGCGCGGGUCCGUCCGUCGGGCGGACGUCGCGACGCCUGGAGCCCUCGUCGCAGGCCGAUCUUUGCGCUGUGUGCACGUGACGUCUGAGCAAACACAAUUCAAUAAGAAAAACUUUCAACAACGGAUCUCUUGGUUCUGGCAUCGAUGAAGAACGCAGCGAAAUGCGAUAAGUAAUGUGAAUUGCAGAAUUCAGUGAAUCAUCGAAUCUUUGAACGCACAUUGCGCCCUCUGGUAUUCCGGGGGGCACACCUGUUCGAGCGUCAUCGUACACCUCAAGCGCGAGCUUGGAGUUGGAGGUCGCGGCGCGCGUGGUCCUCGUUUCGACGGGGACGACGGGCGGCGCGCCUCUGAAAGCGAGAGGCGACGCAGCCCCUUCUCCAGCGCAGUGACCUUCAUUCGCUGACGGGACGUGGUUGUGGUCGCCGCACGGCACGUGUUCUCACGUACACCUGACAAAUUGACCUCGGAUCAGGUGGGAAUACCCGCUGAACUUAAGCAUAUCAAUAAGCGGAGGAAAAGAAACCAACCGGGAUUGCCUCAGUGACGGCGAGUGAAGCGGCAACAGCCCAAAUUUGAAAUCUGGUCCUUGUGGCGCGAGUUGUAAUUGGCAGAGGAAGUCUCGAGCGUGGCGCGAGUCUAAGUUCCGUGGAACAUGACGUCAUAGAGGGUGAGAAUCCCGUCUGGGACCCAGCGUGCCGCCCAUGUAGACUCCGUUCGACGAGUCGAGUCGUUGGGGAAUGCAGCCUAAGCGCGGGGGGUUAAAUCCCAUCUUUAAGGCUAAUACCGGGCCAAAGAACCGAU